GCAUACUGAACUCCGAAAUAUACACAAGAAACUAAAAUCAAAAAUCAUACAAGACUGACAAAGGCCAAAGGCUCCUGACUAAGGACAGGCGAACAAAUGCGGUGGGGUUAAACAUAGAUAUAGGAAGAUGUGGUGUGACACGUUUUUUGAGAUCUCAACCCUCCCAUAUACCUCUAGCCAAGUUAGAAAAAAAACCAAACACACAACAAUACGCAC
rnacentral:lncRNA from 1 species